rfam:Megaselia scalaris, Durham, NC isolate 2 -- Noor lab, WGS project CAQQ02000000 data, contig: ctg0000026836
AAAAAGGAUGUUUUAACAUCCAUCUGUUGGAAAUUGAAACCUUUUU